rnacentral:lncRNA from 1 species
GACGGUGCCCCCUUCGCGUCCUCCGCUUCUUCCUCCGCCCACGCGAGCGCUCACCGUGCGCGCGCCGCGGCGUUGAGCGGCCGCCACCCAAUCGCCGAUGCUCGGCUGCGCUCCUCAUUGGACAUCGAAACCAAACGAACAGAAAUCCAAUUUUUUAUGCCCAAUCUUCCUGCUCAAUUCCUCAACUGCCAGCUAAAUCCUCCAAUUUCAGAAGAUCGGCUCAAGUAAAG